ACUUCCUGUCCUGUAGGUUCUGGUUCCGUGUUCCGGCAGCGUGUCGCUCAGCACGGACGCGGCCCCACGGUUUGAUCGCUACGUUCUACUUCCUGUGGAGGAUGGCUUCAAGACCGCCGAUGGAAGCGACGUGUGUAUCCGUGACCAGCGUGUUGUCUUGGGGAUCGAACCCGCUGUGUCGGUGGCCAUCUUGUUUGAGGAGACGUUCUACAACGACCGCGAGCAGAGCUUCAGCCUGCUGUGUCUGGCCGGACCGCUGGACCCCCAGCAAGACCCGGACCCGGGGCGGGACCCAGGGCCGGACCGGACCCCCUACAGCCUCCGGACCCCCGAGGACGCCCGUAACUUCCUGGGACCCCCAACCCUCAAACUAGACCGCCUCAUCGCAGCCUUCAGUCUGGGCUUCAAGGACCAGGAGGGGAGGGGUCUACAGCACCACCUGGAUGCAGUGAACGCUCUUUCCAACAAAUGUCUCCAGUGUCUGUUGAGGGACCCUCGCCUGAAGCUCCUGUCCCGGCAGGAGGCCCAGAUGAGGCUCAUCAAGCAGGCGCUGGAGAUCCACCUCCAUCAUGG